rnacentral:rRNA from 1 species
UACAGAGGUCUCAAGCGUUGUUCGGAUUCAUUGGGCGUAAAGGGUGCGUAGGCGGCGCGGUAAGUCGGGUGUGAAAUCUCGGAGCUUAACUCCGAAACUGCAUUCGAUACUGCCGUGCUUGAGGACUGGAGAGGAGACUGGAAUUUACGGUGUAGCGGUGAAAUGCGUAGAGAUCAUGAGGAAGACCAGUGGCGAAGGCGGGUCUCUGGACAGUUCCUGACACUGAGACACGAAGGCCAGGGGAGCAAACGGG